rnacentral:rRNA from 1 species
UACGUAGGGUGCAAGCGUUGUCCGGAAUUAUUGGGCGUAAAGAGCUCGUAGGCGGUUUGUCGCGUCUGCUGUGAAAACUCGGGGCUUAACCCCGGGCCUGCAGUGGGUACGGGCAGACUAGAGUGCGGUAGGGGAGACUGGAAUUCCUGGUGUAGCGGUGAAAUGCGCAGAUAUCAGGAAGAACACCUAUGGCGAAGGCAGCACUCUGGGACGGUACUGACGCUGGGACGCGAAAGCGUGGGGAGCGAACAGG